rnacentral:ncRNA from 1 species
CCUCUAACUAUAUUGCAAGUCUCAACACACCCGUGAGGAUAAGCCCCCACCUCAACCAGAGGGAGCAUAGAUAUUAGGCUCGGAAUUCCAGCCCAAAACAUCUAGUACUACCACACCCCCAAGGGCAUGCAGCAGUGAUUAACCUUGUUAAAUAAGCGCCAGCUUGAGCCAGUUAGAGAAUUUAGGGUCGGCCAAUCUGGUGCCAGCCGCCGCGGCUACACCAGAGACUCAAAUUGAUAAUUAUCGGCGUUAAGCGUGUUUAAAGCCCACAAAUAAUUAGGGUUGAAUUGAGAUCCAGUUGUCACAAACGUAUCUACAAGAAGCCCAUAAACGAAAGUUACCCUAAUCAAUGCUAAUACACGACAGCUAAGAUACAAACUGGAAUUAGAUACCCCACUAUGCUUGGCCGUAAACUUCACUCACACCUUAUAACGCCAGGGGAAUUACGAGCCAUGCUUAAAACCCAAAGGACUUGGCGGUGCCCCACCCAACUAGAGGAGCCUGUUCUAUAAUUGAUAAUCCCCGCUUUACCUCACCACUACUAGCCCAUCAGCCUGUAUACCUCCGUCGCAAGCUCACCACGUAAGCGCCAAACAGUCGGCUCAAUGAACCCCCUUACACACGUCAGGUCAAGGUGCAGCCAAUGUAGUGGGAAGCAAUGGGCUACAAUUUCUACCCUAGAAUAAACGAAAAGCCGCAUGAAAAUGCUGCUUGAAGGCGGAUUUAGUAGUAAGAAGAAAAUUAGAGUUCUUCUUAACUAGGCCCUGGGUCGCGUACAAACCGCCCGUCUCCCUCUUCAAUGCCCCUAAAUUACUUCCUAAAUAAUAUUUGCCCACAAGAAGAGGCAAGUCGUAACAUGGUAAGUGUACUGGAAAGUGCACUUGGAAUAA